CGUGCCUAAUACAUGCAAGUAGAACGCACAGUUUAUACCGUAGCUUGCUACACCAUAGACUGUGAGUUGCGAACGGGUGAGUAACGCGUAGGUAACCUGCCUGGUAGCGGGGGAUAACUAUUGGAAACGAUAGCUAAUACCGCAUAAUAUUAAUUAUUGCAUGAUAAUUGAUUGAAAGGUGCAAUUGCACCACUACCAGAUGGACCUGCGUUGUAUUAGCUAGUAGGUGAGGUAACGGCUCACCUAGGCGACGAUACAUAGCCGACCUGAGAGGGUGAUCGGCCACACUGGGACUGAGACACGGCCCAGACUCCUACGGGAGGCAGCAGUAGGGAAUCUUCGGCAAUGGACGAAAGUCUGACCGAGCAACGCCGCGUGAGUGAAGAAGGUUUUCGGAUCGUAAAGCUCUGUUGUAAGAGAAGAACGGGUGUGAGAGUGGAAAGUUCA
rnacentral:rRNA from 1 species